AAAAGAAAAAUGGGUAGGUUAAAAUCGAUUACUUCACAGUUCACAACAUUCACCAACAAAAAAGGAGAAGAAGAAAAAGAAAAAGGAGUACCUUCAAGGCUUCAACGGCAGUCGGCAGCGUCCACCGUCCAGUUCGCAACGCGGGUAAGAAUCGCAACACCACCUUUUUCUUCUUUUCUCUCUAAUCUGCCAUAUUAACUCUUUUCUCUCUUAUCAACACUCAACAGAAGAAGAAGAAGAAGCAGAAGAGUGAAUUGAUAGUGGAGGUUUGGAGCGGCGAAGAUUAGGAAGUUUUCUUGGAAGGAAGAGGGCAGGUGAUGGUGAUAUAACCAAAGAGAAAACCAUUCUUGGAGAUUCUCUCUCUCUCUGAAGAAUGGUUCAGCAAUUUAACGGCGGAAAAAUGGAAAUGUGAAUGGAAAGGACCAGUAGAGGGGUGCUGUAGUGGAUU
rnacentral:misc_RNA from 1 species